rnacentral:rRNA from 1 species
GACGAACGCUGGCGGCGUGCCUAAUACAUGCAAGUUGAGCGCUGAAGGUUGGUACUUGUACCAACUGGAUGAGCAGCGAACGGGUGAGUAACGCGUGGGGAAUCUGCCUUUGAGCGGGGGACAACAUUUGGAAACGAAUGCUAAUACCGCAUAAAAACUUUAAACACAAGUUUUAAGUUUGAAAGAUGCAAUUGCAUCACUCAAAGAUGAUCCCGCGUUGUAUUAGCUAGUUGGUGAGGUAAAGGCUCACCAAGGCGAUGAUACAUAGCCGACCUGAGAGGGUGAUCGGCCACAUUGGGACUGAGACACGGCCCAAACUCCUACGGCAGGCAGCAGUAGGGAAUCUUCGGCAAUGGACGAAAGUCUGACCGAGCAACGCCGCGUGAGUGAAGAAGGUUUUCGGAUCGUAAAACUCUGUUGGUAGAGAAGAACGUUGGUGAGAGUGGAAAGCUCAUCAAGUGACGGUAACUACCCAGAAAGGGACGGCUAACUACGUG